AGAAUGUCCAGUCCAGUGGGUUCAGAAAGUCUUCAUGGAGAACUAUUGCUGGAAGAAAAAGCUGAAUUCAACUUCCAUAAAGAAAAUUAAAAUAUGGUGUCUUGCAGUGUAAGAAAUAAGGAAUCCUUCUGCAUAAGGAACAGCUAUCAUUUAUGAUUCCUGUGAAGGAGGAAAAUGGAAUGUCUCCAUCAGAGUCCAAAAAGACACAACAGCACCGACACCACUGGCAGCCUACACAGACAUCAAAGUGUUACAGCUUGAGAGCUUGGACUGGACUCUGAUACAGCACUCACCACAACUGUACAGAAG
rnacentral:lncRNA from 12 species